rnacentral:rRNA from 1 species
AUUGAACGCUGGCGGCAGGCCUAACACAUGCAAGUCGAACGGUAGCACAGAGAGCUUGCUCUCGGGUGACGAGUGGCGGACGGGUGAGCAAUGUCUGGGAAACUGCCCGAUGGAGGGGGAUAACUACUGGAAACGGUAGCUAAUACCGCAUAACGUCGCAAGACCAAAGGGGGGGACCUUCGGGCCUCACACCAUCGGAUGUGCCCAGAUGGGAUUAGCUAGUAGGUGGGGUAAUGGCUCACCUAGGCGACGAACCCUAGCUGGUCUGAGAGGAUGACCAGCCACACUGGAACUGAGAAACGGUCCAGACUCCUACGGGAGGCAGCAGUGGGGAAUAUUGCACAAUGGGCGCAAGCCUGAUGCAGCCAUGCCGCGUGUAUGAAGAAGGCCUUCGGGUUGUAAAGUACUUUCAGCGGGGAGGAAGGCGGUGAAGUUAAUAACUUCACCGAUUGACGUUACCCGCAGAAGAAGCACCGGCUAACUCCGUGCCAGCCGCCGCAGUAA